rnacentral:lncRNA from 10 species
CUCGGGGGCGGGACGAAGCCUAGGUGGGCGGGGCCUGCGGGGGCGCUGUGGCGGUACAAGAACCCAGGCGGGGCCGGCGAGCAGGUGACCUCCGUCCCUACCGGGAGGACCAGGGCGGGCCGGCGAGGUCGAGGGGGACCCGCGGGUCUGAGGGAGGACGGAGUGGGGGAGUGCUGAGGGAGGACCCGGGGUGGGGAGCUGAGGGAGGAUCCGCAGGGCUGAGGGAGGAUCCAGGAGAGCUGAUAGAGGUCCCGGAGGGCUGAGGGAGGACCCAGGGGUCCUGAGGGAGGACGCAGGGGGCUGAGGGAAGACGCAGGGGGGCUGAGGGAGGAUCCUCGGAGCUGAAGGGGCAUCAGCUGGGCUGAGGGAGGAUCUGUGGGGAUGACGGAAGUUCAAGGGGGGCUGAAGAGGCACGCAGCGGGCUGAGGAGGACCUGAGAGGCUGAAGGAGGAUCCGAAAGGCUGAUACAGCGGGGCUGAGGGGGGAUCCGCGGGGUUGGCGGGGGCUGAGAAAUGACCCUGUAGUUCACAGCAAAAUGGAGUAAUUUAUGUCACAACGUAACCAAAAUGGAGUGGGGAGGGCCCUAAGGAAGCAGCUGUCACGCAUUUCUGAAAUGCCAGAGAGGCUCGCUAUUACCUUGUAAACAGAGCUUAUUCCGGGCAUUUCCACUGGCCUGCAGUAUUCCAGAUGAGAUGUUUGGACCAGGGCAGGCAGAUAGCAUCGCCUAUCUGCCUCAGCGAACCAGGGUCACUUUGUGCAAUGAGUUCAUGAGACCAGGGCCUUUGUUUUGUGAAAGUUACAAAUAAGGAGUGAAAUCACUUUGUCAGGCCCAGACAAACAGGGCUGGGAAGAACAGGAGGCUCAGGCUUAGUGUCUGAGAUAAGAAUUAUUCGCAAGGACUUUCUAAAAACCCCACAAGAAACCCUUUUGUGUCAUUCACGGGUCUCCUACUUUGACAAAAUUUAGACCAUCUUUAGGACUGCAGUAAUUCAGUUAAGAUGCUCGGAAUAAACACUUGCCCAGUAAUGGCAGCGCCACCAAUGAACUGAGGACAACUUUGAGCUUUGGCGUUGGGCCCCUGGAACCAAUGAACUCUUUCUAAGCAGCUUCUGUGAACCGCUCCCUUUUCGCUGAUAAAAGUUCCCUUUUCACUGAUAAAAAGUUCCCUUUACCCUUCCCUCACUGGGAAUGCUGGUGGCUUGCUGCUGUUGAUGAAAAGAGUCAAACUUUGUAAAAUAUUUUAAGAGAUAUAUUCUGAGCCAAAUAUGAGUAACCAUGGCCUGUGACACAGCCCUCAGGACAGAGGUCCUGAGAACAUGUUCCCAAGGUGGUUGGGGUGCAGCUUGGUUUUAUACAUUUUAGGGAGGCAUGAGACAUCAAUCAAAUACAUUUAAAACCUACAUUGGUUUGGUUCAGAAAGGCAGGACAACUCGAAGCAGGGGUCAAGGGUGCUGGCUUCCAGCUUAUAGGUAGAUUGAAAAAUUUUCUGUUUGACAAUUGGUUGAAUUUACCUGAAGACCUGGGAUUAACAGAAAGGAAUGUCUGGGUUAAGAUAAAAGAUUGUGGGUGGGGUGCAGUGGCUCACACCUGUAAUCCCAGCACUUUGGGAGGCUAAGGCAGGCGGAUCACGAGGUCAGGAGUUCGAGACCAGCCUGACCAACAUGGUGAAACCUCCUCUCUACUAAAAAUACAAAAAUUAGCUGGGCGUGGUGGUGUGUGCCUGUAAUCCCAGUUACUCAGGAGGCUGAGGCAGAAGAAUCACUUCAGCCCAGGAGGCGGAGGUUGAAGUGAGCCGAGAUUGCGCCACUGCACUCCAGCUUAGGCAAUAGAGUGAGACUCCAUCUAAAAAAAAAAAAAAAGGAAAGAAAAAAAAAUAUAUAUAUAUAUGAUUGUGGAGACCAAAGUUCUUAUUUGCAGAUGAAGCCUUCAGGUAUUAGGCUUCAGAGAGAAUAGGUUGUAAAAUGUUUAUCGGACUUAAAGUCUAUGUUGAUGUUAAUGCCAGAGAGGUAUAAUGAGGCAUGUCUGACCCCCACUUCUUAUGGCCUGAACCAGUCUUUGAGGUUAAAUUUUAAGAGUUCCAGGCCAGGCACAGUGGCUGACACCUGUAAUCCCAACACUUUGGGAGGCAGAGGUGGGCGAAUCACUUCAGGUCAGGAGUUCGAGACCAGCCUGGCCAACAUGGUGAAACCCGGUCUCCACUAAAAAAUAUACAAAAAUUAGCCAGGCAUGGUGGUGCGCACCUGUAAUCCCAGCUACUCAGGAGGCUGAGGCAGGAGAAUCACUUGAACCUGGGAGGCAGAGGUUGCAGUGAGCAGAGAUCGCACCACUGCACUCCAGCCUGGGUGACAGAGCAAGACUCCGUCAAAAAAAAAAAAUUUUUUUUAAGAGUUCCCUGGCCGAGGAGGAAGUCCAUUUAGAUGGCUGGGGAGCCUUAUAAAUUUAUUUUUUAUUUUUGGUUUACACUUGAUAAAAACUUCAGCCGAAUUAAAUUUAAAGUUUAAUUGAGCAAUGAAUGAUUCACGAAUCACGCAGCCCCCAGAAUCACAGCAGAUUCACAGAGACUCCAGCACAGCCACGUGGUGGAAGAUUCGUAGACAAAAAAAGGUAAAUGAUGUACAGAAAUUGAAAGUAAAGUACAAAACAGCUGGAUUGGUUUCAGGUUGGUGUUUGCCGUAUUUGAACACAGUUUGAACGCUCAGCAGUAUAUGAAUAGUUGAAGUGCAGCCUCUGGGAUUGGCCAAGACGCAGCUAUUGUUACAGUUGCAUACUCCUGUUAGGUUUUCAAUCUAUCUACCUAUUAAGCUAGGUUGCAGUUCAUCCACAAGGACUCAAAUAUAAAAAUAUGAAGUCCUUCUCAGGCCAUAUUUAGUUUGCUUCAGCAACUACCCUCUUUUGGUCAUUUUCUCAAUUUUGAGAGAUUGACCAAAACUUUAGUUGUUGUCACUAUCACCAUAGUAAAUGUACUUAUUUGCUCCUGAAAUCCAGUGGGAAACAGUAGAACAAUGAGUUUUCCAAAGGUAGGAACAAAGACUGAGUAGAGGGUACCUCUUUAUGCUGGAACAUCCUGUUUACAGGAGAAAAAACCUGGUCUGUUCUAGGAUUUAUAUGUAUCCUUAGUUUGAUUAUGUCACAUUUAGCAUGAGUGACUCCAUUUUAGUUUGGUUUGUCCUGUUGGGACCUAGUGCAUGAGCUUAGUCCAAAACAAUGGCCUCCCAUAAUUGUGUUUUUUAAAAAAUUCCCCCUUUUUGGUCAGGUUCUUACUUAGGUGAGAGUGUGACCAAAACUUGGGGCCUUAGCACCACUCUCUGUUACCAUCAUUUUGUGUUUCUGGUGUCAGCACAUCGUUCAUAGGUUAUGGUAUCCUCAUGGUCACAUAUUUCUUUCAGCUCUUUCAUUCCAGUUGAAGAGAGACCAUUUGACGUUCUAGAGAUAGCUGUGUGCAAUCAUUUAAAAUCUUUGAGAGAAUACAGUGCACCAGGGAGACUAUUAUUAUGCCUAUUGGGAGCAUAAUACCAAGAGUUUGGAGUAUGCUCCUUACCCAGGGUCCCCAUAAACCAAACCACCUAAAAUUAAAUAGAUUAAAGAAUGAGUGAGAUGAAGGGUCUACUUGCUUGACUAAGUGAUCUUUUCAUUAAUCUUCUACAACUGAAUUUUUAUAAUCUACAUUUAAUGUAUUCCUCCAUAGGCCACAGCUGCCAGCAGCUGCACAGGUACUUUUCUAUUUAACUAAUUCUAUUAUUUAGCAUAACUUUCACAAGAGAAUUUAAAGUCUGUUGUGUAACGAUAGUCUUUACAGUAGAAUCUGCUAGAAAGCCUAUUAUGAGGGAUAUAUUUCUAGUUAUUGCCUAUUUUAUUCUAAACGAUGGAAAAAGGACCUAACAAAUGAUGUCCUUUUAGAAAAGUGAAGGCCCCCUGACAAUGUUCUCUUUAACCCAUGAUGUGGGUUAAGAGGAGUUUUUACUGAUUAUGAGGAAAUAUAUGUACAAUUAAAGUUUUUCACCUACAUUGGGCCUUCGUCUUGUCUUUAUCAAAGUAUAAGUUUAUUCAUGUAUAAGGCUGGCUACAAAAUCCUUCACAAAUAAAAGUAUACCUUAUAACUGAACAUAAUAGAACCCCUUUUCAUUUCUAUUAUUCAUAGAGGCAUAAACAAGGAAAAAAAUAUUCAAAGAUAAGAGUCUCAUUAUAGAAGCCUUGAUCCAUGAUCAUGGGAAAAGCUGUUCACAUCAAGGAUGCCAUCUUCUUCUGGGAAGAAACUUUCUGGGUUAGUUUUACCUUAAGGAUUCCAAUGGGUGUACAGUUCCAAGAGUGUAGAGGGACCCCUUUCAGUUGUUUAUGAACCCAAGGUUCAAGGUUCCAAAGUUUUGUUGCAGUGUAGAAGGACAGUCUUUCUCUGAUGUUCUCAGAAGAGUCAGUCUUCAGGUUCUGGAUUGUGAAGGGGUUGAUUGUCCUCAGUGAACCAUAAAAAGUUUUCUUUAUCUGGUGAAAAUAUACUCUGGCAUAAUAAUUAGCUGUUAUAACAUAAAACAUGCAUUGAAAAUGACAGUGGAAUGAAAUUCAUUUAUACAUGUUUAAAUGACCCAUCAGGUAGCCAAAUGUACCUGAAGGUUUGAUUACCUUCCCAGGAAUAUGGAACCAACCAUUGGUUUUAUUUUAUUUUAUUUUAUUUUGAGAUGGAGUCUCACUCUAUUGCCCAGGCUGGAGUGCAGGGGCAUGAUCUUGGCUCACUGCAGCCUCCACCUCCCGGGUUCAAGCGAUUCUCCUGCCUCAGCCUCCUGCGUAGCUGGGACUGUAGGCACCCGCCACCACGCCCAGCUAAUUUUUACAUUUUUAGUAGAGACAGGGUUUCACCAUAUUGGCCAGGCUGGUCUUGAACUCCUGACUUUGUGAUCCACCCACCUCAGCCUCCCAAAGUGAUGGGAUUACAGGCAUGAGCCACCAUGCCCAGCUGUGUUUUUUUUUUACAAGAAUCAUCUGCUUAUUUAUUUUACAAAGUAAUUAUUUAAAUUGAGUACAUUUGGGCACAGUAGAUAUUGGACAUGAAAAGUAUUUGUAUCAGAAUGGGCAUCAGAAAAAUAGCAACUCAUCUUACACAUAAUAACUAGAAAAUAUUAUUCUGUCUGAUCAUUUAAGUGUUACAAAUCCUGAGAAUGUUAUACACUGAACAAAUUAGGUACUACCUUAAAAUUAAAUCUUGCUUGGAAAUAAUCCUUUAAAAAUGAUCUGAGGUACAAAUCAUCUAUGUAUUAAACGUGAGUCUUUGACAUUAUACAAAGAGUUUAAACAAAUAUAUAAAUUACAGGUCAGUGGCUCUUAAAAUAGCUACCAGUCAGGUUCAAGGACACACUGUUCCGCAAUUUCCCAUAAGCUGGGGUUUUCCAUUGCAG